rnacentral:rRNA from 1 species
UACGUAGGGUGCUAGCGUUGUCCGGAUUUAUUGGGCGUAAAGGGCUCGUAGGCGGUUUGUCGCGUCGGCUGUGAAACCGUGGGGCUCAACCCCGGGCCUGCAGCCGAUACGGGCAAACGUAGAAUUCGGUAGGGGAGACUGGAAUUCCUGGUGGUAGCGGUGAAAUGCGCAGAUAUCAGGAGGAACACCGGUGGCGAAGGCGGGUCUCUGGGCCGAUAUUGACGCUGAGGAGCGAAAGCGUGGGGAGCGAACAGG